UACGUAGGUGGCAAGCGUUGUCCGGAUUUAUUGGGUUUAAAGGGUGCGUAGGCGGCCCUGUAAGUCAGUGCUGAAAUAUCCCGGCUUAACCGGGAAGGUGGCAUUGAUACUGCAGGGCUUGAGUACAGAUGAAGUAGGCGGAAUUGACGGUGUAGCGGUGAAAUGCAUAGAUAUCGUCAAGAACACCGAUAGCGAAGGCAGCUUACUAAGCUGUAACUGACGCUGAGGCACGAAAGUGUGGGGAUCAAACAGG
rnacentral:rRNA from 1 species